rnacentral:rRNA from 1 species
UCAAUAAGCGGAGGAAAAGAAACCAACAGGGAUUGCCCCAGUAACGGCGAGUGAAGCGGCAACAGCUCAAAUUUGAAAUCUGGCUCUCAGGGCCCGAGUUGUAAUUUGUAGAGGAUGCUUUUGGCGAGGUGCCUUCCGAGUUCCCUGGAACGGGACGCCACAGAGGGUGAGAGCCCCGUAUGGUCGGACACCGAGCCUCUGUAAAGCUCCUUCGACGAGUCGAGUAGUUUGGGAAUGCUGCUCAAAAUGGGAGGUAUAUGUCUUCUAAAGCUAAAUAUUGGCCAGAGACCGAUAGCGCACAAGUAGAGUGAUCGAAAGAUGAAAAGCACUUUGAAAAGAGGGUUAAAAAGUACGUGAAAUUGUUGAAAGGGAAGCGCCUAUGACCAGACUUGCGCCCGGUGAAUCACCCAGCGUUCUCGCUGGUGCACUUUGCCGGGCACAGGCCAGCAUCAGUUCAGCGCGGGGGAGAAAGGCUUCGGGAAUGUGGCUCCCUCGGGAGUGUUAUAGCCCGCUGCGUAAUGCCCUGCGCCGGACUGAGGUACGCGCAUUGCAAGGAUGCUGGCGUAAUGGUCAUCAGCGACCCGUCUUGAAACACGGACCAAGGAGUCGUCUUCGUAUGCGAGUGUUCGGGUGUCAAACCCCUACGCGUAAUGAAAGUGAACGUAGGUGAGAGCUUCGGCGCAUCACCGACCGAUCCUGAUGUUCUCGGAUGGAUUUGAGUAAGAGCAUACGGGGCCGGACCCGAAAGAAGGUGAACUAUGCCUGUAUAGGGUGAAGCCAGAGGAAACUCUGGUGGAGGCUCGCAGCGGUUCUGACGUGCGAAUCGAUCGUCAAAUAUGGGCAUGGGGGCGAAAGACUAAUCGAACCUUCUAGUAGCUGGUUUC